CAGGCUUUUUUUUUUAGGGCACUGCAUGCAGGCUUUGACACUAAUUAAUCGCACAUCUGUUUCAGGUUCGUAAUUGAACUGUUUAAUUGUUGGUUCUAUCCAUUGAGAAAACUGAGCUCAAAUUUUGCAUAUCUAGUUUAAGGGGUUCUUGUAUAGUUGUACUGUGUUUUAAACGAGGCAAAAGCUUAGUUUGUCUAUUUCAUAUUUUCAUUGAUAAAGCAUGAGUUCAAAAAAUAAAAAAUACAAAACAAACUGCAAUGCCAGAGCCAUUGCUCAAACAGCCACGCAAACCACAGGACAGCGUUGAAGACGAAUGCACUCAAUGAGCACUUCCCAGUUGGGAAGCCAAAAUGCGCCUCCUCCCUCAUCUCCAAAUGUGACACCUCACACUCGAUGAGCACUUCCAGGUUACAUAGCACCGACGUUGCUCUCACAAUUUUUUUUUCUAAACGAUAUAGGAUUUUUUAUUGAAAUCUUAUAGGAUCAUAGACACACAAUUUGUCAACUCUCUCUCUCUCUCUCUCAAAAAUGGAGCUUAUUAAUUUGUUGGUAAGCACUGAUAUGUAAUUCCUCCGUUCAGUUCAAAACCG
rnacentral:lncRNA from 1 species